CUAGCUCUCAGCUCCGCCGCCCUCUGGGGAAUGCGAGGGUGGGGUGGCGCGCUGUCCGUGGUACUGAAGCCCGGCCGCUGUCCGUGGUGUCAGAACCGGCCUGGAACUGGAGUUGGAGCUGGAGAUGGAGAUGGAGAUGGAGAUGGAGAAGAUGGAGAUGGAGCAGGAGUCUCUGGCUGCUGCUGCAGCUGUCUCCUCGUUUACUGCUCACUGUAACUGAUGCUUCUGCAGCUCCUACAGAUCCGGGGGCGCAGGGGGCGGGGCUGGGGGGGAAGGUUCGGGGGAGGGGCCGGAACCUAGUUUAUCUCAGACUGGCGUUUCCCUGGGGACAUUCUGGCCCCCAUCAGUGGAGCUUUCCCCGGUUUGGUUACCCAGGGGAUAGGAUAGGGUGAAUUAACAUCUUUUCCUCCACUACAGACCAACAGCCACUCCAGAUAAGGGAAGGGUCUCUACCCUUGAGAUGGAGCCCCCGACACUGUUAGUCCCGGGACUCCAGGACUCCUGUCUAGGAAAGUGGGUCUCUGUUGGGCCCUGGUGGGAAUCUGCUUCUCCUCCUUCUCUGGUGCGGGAUCAGGAAAGGUGAAAGAGGAGUUCCCUUAUGAUGCAGUUUAAGAGCAGAAUUCUCCUCCCUACCUCUGGUGCAGCCUGCCCAACCUUGUGAGGGAGUCUACUGGGAAUGGGGGAGGAGAAUAGGAAGAUAAUGCUAACGAAUCCAAGUAGGUCAGACGUUGCUUUUUAAAAAGUGAUGAUAGUGGGUAAAUUAGGGAAAUGAGCAAGGAAGGGAGGGGGAGAGAAAUGGAGGGAGGGAAGGUUUGGAAACCCUCACGCAAACCAAAUAAUCCUGCUGUUUGGGGCUCCUUGACUGAAGGAGAAAGUAGUUCAUCCUCCACUUAAUGGAGAGGGAGAUAGUGCUUUUUACAAUUAUGGAAGGCUUGUGGGUCCCCACUGAAAUGUGAGUGGUUUUCCGAAUGAUAUCAGUAUCUCAACACCUGUCUUCUACUCCCCCAUUUUGGUUUCUAAUAGGAAGGGGAAAUGGGGCUUGUUCCCCUGGGCUUCAACUAUUACCUGCUUCUCCAUCUCACUGCUUCAGAACCAAGCCUUUAUCCUGUCUCUUGCCUGGCUCUGAAGAAGAAAAGCAGGCCAGAUCAGGAAGAUGGAAUCAAAAGGUAAAGAUUGGACUGCAGAAACACAUAAUUAGAAGACUUCUCUCUCCUUUCUCUGACUGGAAGAGAAUGAACUAGACUGUUGGAAAUUCAUUACUCAAUGGUUUUAUGACCGGCAUAAAAAUAGUAGGUGAUGAAGAAAAGAAUCAGGUUUUAAAGCAGAGUGGGAAAAGGCCAUAAUCCAUGUGCCAGAAUUCUGUAUGUAUUCUUCAGGGCUACAAUAAAAGGCUAUGGUUUCAGGGAGGGAGUAGAGGA
rnacentral:lncRNA from 1 species